CCCUUAGACGUUCUGGGCCGCACGCGCGCUACACUGACCAGUGCAACAAGCAUCCGUCCUUGGCCGACAGGCCCGGGCAAUCUUUGAACGCUGGUCGUGAUGGGGAUAGACUUUUGCAAUUUUUGGUCUUCAACGAGGAAUUCCUAGUAAACGCAAGUCAUCAACUUGCAUUGAUUACGUCCCUGCCCUUUGUACACACCGCCCGUCGCUACUACCGAUUGAAUGGUUUAGUGAGGUCUCCUGAUUGGCGUUUUGCAGCUGGAAACAGCAGUGGGAUGCUGAAAAGUUGAUCAAACUUGAUCAUUUAGAGGAAGUAAAAGUCGUAACA
rnacentral:rRNA from 1 species